rnacentral:rRNA from 1 species
UGUAGGCGGCUGACUAAGUCCUGCGUGAAAUUUCGGGGCUCAACCCCGAACGGUCGUGGGAAACUGGUCGGCUAGAGUGCGGGAGAGGAGAGUGGAAUUCCUGGUGUAGCGGUGAAAUGCGCAGAUAUCAGGAAGAACACCCGUGGCGAAGGCGGCUCUCUGGAACGCAACUGACGCUGAGACGCGAAAGCGUGGGAGCAAACA